ACAUCACAUUGCAUUUUCUUACGUUUAAAUAAAGCUGUAACAUAUGACCACUUUGCAGAGCUAGUGGAAGCACUAAGCUGCUGGUGCUGCAGUAGUUGUGGUUGUUGUUGUAGUAGUGGUUGUAGUGGUGGUGGUUGUGGUGGUAGUAGUAGUAGUAGUUGUUGUUGUGGUUGU